GAUGAACGCUAGCGGCAGGCCUAAUACAUGCAAGUCGGACGGGAUUCAGGAGCUUGCUUCUGAUGAGAGUGGCGCACGGGUGCGUAACACGUAUGUAACCUACCUUUAUCAGGGGGAUAGCCUCUCGAAAGAGAGAUUAAGCCCGCAUAAAAUCACAGCACAGCAUUGUGUAAUGAUCAAAUAUUUAUAGGAUAAAGAUGGGCAUGCGGAACAUUAGCUAGAUGGCGGGGUAACGGCACACCAUGGCGACGAUGUUUAGGGGAUCUGAGAGGAUGGCCACCCACACUGGUACUGAGACACGGACCAGACUCCUACGGGAGGCAGCAGUAAGGAAUAUUGGUCAAUGGGCGGAAGCCUGAACCAGCCAGGCCGCGUGCAGGAAGACGGCCCUACGGGUUGUAAACUGCUUUUAUACGGGAAUAAACCCAGAUACGUGUAUCUGGCUGAAUGUACUGUAAGAAUAAGGAUCGGCUAACUCCGUG
rnacentral:rRNA from 1 species